rnacentral:tRNA from 1 species
UGGCCCCUCGUCCAAUGGCAGGACACCAGACUUUGGAUCUGGGAAUGGUGGUUCGAGCCCACCGGGGCCAA